rnacentral:misc_RNA from 1 species
AACCAUAGAAACCUGCGGAGUACCUGCGGAAGGAUCAUUAUCGAGUGCGACCCCCUCGUAAAAAAAGGGGGUACCUCCCGUCCUUUGCUAAGCCCCUCACCUUUUUGGAGGGGGGGCUUUUAAAACCUUACUGCUUCGGUGGGGUCAUUCCCUCCGGAACAACUUCAAAUUCUCGUUUUAAACUGUUCAGUCCGAGAAAAUUUUUAAAAGCGAAAAACUUUUAACAACGGAUCUCAGAUC